rnacentral:rRNA from 1 species
UACGGGGGGGGCAAGCGUUGUUCGGAAUUACUGGGCGUAAAGGGCUCGUAGGUGGCCAACUAAGUCAGACGUGAAAUCCCUCGGCUUAACCGGGGAACUGCGUCUGAUACUGGAUGGCUUGAGUGUGGGAGAGGGAUGCGGAAUUCCAGGUGUAGCGGUGAAAUGCGUAGAUAUCUGGAGGAACACCGGUGGCGAAGGCGGCGUUCUGGACUGCAACUGACACUGAGGAACGAAAGCCAGGGGAGCAAACGGG